UACAGAGGUCCCAACCGUUGUUCGGGAUUACUGGGCGUAAAGGGCUCGUAGGCGGCCAACUAAGUCAGACGUGAAAUCCCUCGGCUUAACCGGGGAACUGCGUCUGAUACUGGAUGGCUUGAGUUUGGGAGAGGGAUGCGGAAUUCCAGGUGUAGCGGUGAAAUGCGUAGAUAUCUGGAGGAACACCGGUGGCGAAGGCGGCAUCCUGGACCAACACUGACGCUGAGGAGCGAAAGCCAGGGGAGCAAACGGG
rnacentral:rRNA from 1 species